GAUGAACGCUGGCGGCGUGCUUAACACAUGCAAGUCGAACGGUGAAGCAGGAGCUUGCUCCUGUGGAUCAGUGGCGAACGGGUGAGUAACACGUGAGCAAUCUGCCCUGGACUCUGGGAUAAGCGUUGGAAACGACGUCUAAUACCGGAUACGAGGCGUGGGGGCAUCCCCAACGCCUGGAAAGAACUUCGGUCCAGGAUGAGCUCGCGGCCUAUCAGCUAGUUGGUGAGGUAACGGCCCACCAAGGCGACGACGGGUAGCCGGCCUGAGAGGGUAACCGGCCACACUGGGACUGAGACACGGCCCAGACUCCUACGGGAGGCAGCAGUGGGGAAUAUUGCACAAUGGGCGCAAGCCUGAUGCAGCAACGCCGCGUGAGGGACGACGGCCUUCGGGUUGUAAACCUCUUUUAGCAGGGAAGAAGCGAAAGUGACGGUACCUGCAGAAAAAGCACCGGCUAACUACGUACCAGCCGCCGCUGUAAUAC
rnacentral:rRNA from 1 species